AAAAGACAGCAUCUGAAACCACCAGAGGAAGAUCUGCCAGAGCCAAGCGCCAAAGGUCUAUGGCCAAACUCUUGCCAUGUAUUCAGGAGGCAUAAAAACAAGGCAUGCCCAGAAGGUCUUCAAGAAUCCGAGAUAUUAUAGCUGUGUUUAUGCUGAUAAACCUGUCAUGGACAGGGACUGUUCUCUUGUCCCUGUCACAGAGCAUGUGGUGCUGUGUCUCCUCUGAGCAAAUGGUUUCUUCAAAUGAUUUUCCUCAGGCAAUGGAAAAGGAGCCCAGAAAACAAUUUGUUUAUUAUAAGCAGGUCAGUCCUCGGGGGGAUUCAUGGAAUCACGCAGUGGGAGAGGACAAUCAUGGCACUGAAAUGAGAUGUGGGAAGACCAAAAGAAGGAGGAUCAUGAAUGAGCACUUAUGUUUUUGUACCCCAAAUAGUGAGUGCUUCAGAAGAAGGAAAAAACCCAUUGCUUUGGAUGGCAUUCUUGAAGUAUUGGAAAGCCUCUGA
rnacentral:lncRNA from 1 species